CGGCAGCGCCUAACACAUGCAAGUCGAGCGGCAGCGGGAAAGUAGCUUGCUACUUUUGCCGGCGAGCGGCGGACGGGUGAGUAAUGCCUGGGGAUCUGCCCAGUCGAGGGGGAUAACUACUGGAAACGGUAGCUAAUACCGCAUACGCCCUACGGGGGAAAGCAGGGGACCUUCGGGCCUUGCGCGAUUGGAUGAACCCAGGUGGGAUUAGCUAGUUGGUGAGGUAAUGGCUCACCAAGGCGACGAUCCCUAGCUGGUCUGAGAGGAUGAUCAGCCACACUGGAACUGAGACACGGUCCAGACUCCUACGGGAGGCAGCAGUGGGGAAUAUUGCACAAUGGGGGAAACCCUGAUGCAGCCAUGCCGCGUGUGUGAAGAAGGCCUUCGGGUUGUAAAGCACUUUCAGCGAGGAGGAAAGGUUGGUAGCUAAUAACUGCCAGCUGUGACGUUACUCGCAGAAGAAGCACCGGCUAA
rnacentral:rRNA from 1 species